rnacentral:rRNA from 1 species
GAUGAACGCUGGCGGCGUGCCUAAUACAUGCAAGUCGAGCGAACGGACGAGAAGCUUGCUUCUCUGAUGUUAGCGGCGGACGGGUGAGUAACACGUGGAUAACCUACCUAUAAGACUGGGAUAACUUCGGGAAACCGGAGCUAAUACCGGAUGAUAUUUUGAACCGCAUGGUUCAAAAGUGAAAGACGGUCUUGCUGUCACUUAUAGAUGGAUCCGCGCUGCAUUAGCUAGUUGGUAAGGUAACGGCUUACCAAGGCAACGAUGCAUAGCCGACCCGAGAGGGGGAUCGGCAAAACUGAAACGAGGACACGGCCCGACCCCCUACGGGAGGCAGCGGUAGGGAAUCUUCCGCAAGGGGCGAAAGCCGGACGGAGCAACGCCGCGGGGGUGAUGAAGGUCUUCGGAUCGUAAACCUCGGUUAUAAGGGAAGAAAAUAGGUGUAGUAACUGUGCACAUCUUGACGGUACCUAAUCAGAAAGCCACGGCUAACUACGUG